GGUGGACAGACGAUCGCUGGCAGAUUUUCUGCGAGAGGAAAGUCCGGACUCCACAGGGCAACGUAGCAGCUAACGGCUGUCCGCCGCAAGGCGAGGAUCAGAGCAACAGAGACGAGCCGGCCUCGGGUCGGGUGAAACGGGCAAUCUCUACGUGGAGCAACACCAAAUAGGCAGCCGCUAAUCCGGCCCGGACAGGCUGCGGGUAGGUGGCACGAUGCGGCAUGCGAAUGCCGUACUAGAUGAAUGAUCGUCGGCGGCCCCGGCCGUUGACAGAAUCCGGCUUACGGACACCCU
rnacentral:RNase_P_RNA from 1 species